CGCCUCUCUGUGCCGCGCUGCUGCAGCGGCCGACGGCGUGGGGGGGGCUCUGCCGGGACGCGCUCGACCUUCUCAAGAUGGCGGCAAAAAAGAGCGGGAAAGUCGAGGGCCUCCGUCCGCUUACUGGACUGCCUGCGUGGCACCCCGACGCCAGCGCGGCCCCGGUGGAAUUUUCUGUGGCGAUUCACGUGCUGUGGACACGGGCUGCAGCCUCAGCGGCGCCGCGGGCGGGCGUGUUUUUGACGGGAGUUGCCAGGGUUUAGUAGGGUCGCCUUUCUCUGCCGAGGGUCUCUCGCGGCCGCCAUCUUGGAAGUGGCGUGUCACGGACUCGCUUGACCUUCUCAAGAUGGCGGGGGAAAAAGAGCGGGAAAAAACAGGUUACCCUAUAAUAGCCGAGUGUAGCCGAAGAGCCGAAGAUAGCCAAGUGUAACCGACUGUAGCCGAGUUUAGCCGAAGUGCCGAAUAUGAUCGACUUUAGCCGAACCGAACCGAGUUCAGCCGAACAGCCGAAACAAGCCGAGUUUAGACGAAAAACCGAAACAAGCCCAGCUUAGACCAACAGCCGAACCAAAGCGCCGCUGCACGACGCCGAGAGCUUCUCCGAGGGUCUGGGGGAACACCUGGAUACGCCCUUGGAUGCGUGGAGCAUUGCUCAAAGGAGGUGCCGAGGAACAAAGCUUCGUGCCGGGAAGCAGCAGCCGAACAGUUAUUUUACAGAAAUAGGUGAUCAAAGCUUAGAAGAACCUGUAGCAAAUCCUGUUUGCUUGACACUUGGAGCAGUUGGCAUCCAGCCUGGUGUCCUGAGGAUGUGCUCCCAAGGGAAAAAGGCUUUCAACAAAUGGAUUGAAAUCGCUUAUCUGUCAUGGGCAUUUCCAACAUGCUGGAAGUGUUUCAGUACUCUGGAGAACAUGUGUACCUUUCCUGAAAUACACCCUUUUGUUGGCUCUUCAGAUAUUGCUGGAAUCAUGGACAUGGGCAGCUUUACCUAGGUUCCUGAAAACUACUUAUGAACCUUUUUCCCUUGGAAAAUGUUACAUUAACAGACCUCAAUAUGCAAUGUUUGGAAACAACUGAAAUGCUUAUAAGAGAUGAUAAGAAAUAGAAAAUAUAUUCUGCCCUUCUACUGCAGUCAAUAACACCUCUCUGAAGUUGAUGCUUAUUUCUUUUAUACUCUGCAAUGAGCAAGGUCUUGUACAAUCAGGUUUUAUUUUUGUUAUUUCUUGUAAUUUAUUCAUAAAAUCCAACAUGUAAAUUUUAGUACCUGCAGUUAAGUCCAGUCUGUUGGGCCUUAGUGCAUCCAAGGGGUGUUUCAGGCCAUGUGUGAGCAGUAUUUUCACAACUGGGUGUUUUGUUUGGAUGGAGUGACCUUGACAUGAUUCUUUGAGCCCUAGAUUUUUAUUGUGUUCAUAGUGGAAACCUUUAUCCUGCUCCCUGUAGUGAGUGCUGGUGUGCUGUCUGCUCUGGGCCUGAGACCGGAGCCCUUCUCUCAGAGUAAGAUGCAGGGUACUGGGGGUGGUUUGUCCCUUUUCAAAGAGUCACUGGUGAUUCUGGUGCAAAAAGUAUGGAGAAUGUUGCAGAAAAAAACAGUACAAAAAUAGGGUGUGGAGUCUUGGAGUGAUGGGAAAGGACUGGCUUUUCUAUGCUUAUAUAUGUUUGUGCAGAUGAUGAUGUUCAUAGCUGUGUGUUUUAGAGCUGUUGUACCUGAGCCUGAAAAUGGAGCUGUGGCAUAAACCGGACUAAACUUCAGCAAGAAACAAUAAAUUCACUGAAAAUAUUGUGAUGGGACCUGCCCUAUUGUGUCAGCCCCCUGACACAAGCUGCAGGUACUCUGUACUUGGCAACUUCUGUGGGGUCUGGAGGAUUUUUGUAUGGAAGUUCUGCCACAUGGCUGACCAGGGACUGAGGUUUUGUGUAGUAGCAGGGCGAUGCCCAGACCCUGACUGAGUGUGGUUUACUCUUAACACAUUGCCUUGCUGCAAUGGCAGUUGCUAAUAAAUUUAUCAAAGAAUUAUUAACACUAAACCAAAAUAUCUACAUAGAAAUCACUGUCGAGUUUCUCUCAACAAAGCACCAGUGAUGGCACCAGAGGAACAGGCAGUAACUGAUGCCCGGGAAUUCCCCCUGCACAGGAGGCAGAACUUCUUCCCUGGGCACUGCCUGAGCCCUGAACAGAUUGUCCACAGAGGGUGUGCAGCUCUUAAAUUCAUGCUAAAAUAGCUAAAAACAGUGAGAGGAGGAGUGACCCAGAAGAACAAAAAAUAUUGGCCUGUAGAUAGAAUUUCGAGUGUUCUGGCACAGAUGAACACAGAAAUUAGUCUAGAGGGAAUGCAAAAAACCAGGGAACAUUUGGAAGAGAAAGUACAAUAAAUGGGAAAAACUGGCAAUGAACAGCAAUCUUAAAUUGAC